rnacentral:rRNA from 1 species
UACGAAGGGGGCUAGCGUUGCUCGGAAUCACUGGGCGUAAAGGGUGCGUAGGCGGGUUCUAAGUCAGAGGUGAAAGCCUGGAGCUCAACUCCAGAACUGCCUUUGAUACUGGAAGUCUUGAGUUCGGGAGAGGUGAGUGGAACUGCGAGUGUAGAGGUGAAAUUCGUAGAUAUUCGCAAGAACACCAGUGGCGAAGGCGGCUCACUGGCCCGAUACUGACGCUGAGGCACGAAAGCGUGGGGAGCAAACAGGG